GGGCCUGUGAGUUCAUAUCUGGAAUAAAAUAAUGGCAAAUCUACAGAAAUAUCACUGCUAAGGAGUGUCAAACAAAUUCAGGAGGACUGAAUUAACUGGAUGUUCUCAGGAUGAAAAAGAAAUUGUUGACUUUAAUUGAAUAAUCAUUAUCAUUAAUGUAAGGUUAAAAAUAUUGAACAUUCAAAAGGAUGCAGACAGAAAAUUGAAAGUAGGGCCUGAAUUUCAGGUUAAGUGAUCCAGGAAUGAGGUUGGCCCUCUGCAGGCUAAAUCAAUUGAGGGAGAUCCCUUUAUUUCAAGUUAAAUGAUUAUUUGAAUAAGAUGCCAUUCAGGCAAUAAGGGCCUGCAUGGUUAGGUCCAUAUUUUAAUUCAAAUUAUUAAGUACUCGAUUUAUCCAUCAACAAAACCCAACAUUAAAAUUUCCAUUGAGUGAGAUGCAACAAAACCAUCUAUAGUUUAUUAAUUAUGUUAACCUACUCCAUCAAUUGGCAAUGAGCCUACUUUAGUAAUAAUUUUAUAUACUCCAUCUCUAAUUUGCCCAUUAUAUUUAUAAACUGACAGUUAAUACUAUUACUCUUUCACAUACUAAUAAAAUCAUCUGGGCCUGGUUGUUCGAAGCCCGUGUAAGCCUUUGAACUACUGGCCCCAGAUGAUUUUAUUAGUCUGUGAAAGAUUAAUUAUUAACUGUCAGUUUAUAAAUAUAAUGGGCAAAUAUAUGAUUAUGUAAAAAUUGCAUGCAUGGUUCAUAAAAUCUCUGUGAUAGACUUAUAGAGGUUGCAGUGUUGCACUACCUUUUGCUAAAAUACUGCCAUUGUUUACCAGUAUUUAAUAUGAACUCAAAAGUCAAAACACU
rnacentral:lncRNA from 1 species